rnacentral:rRNA from 1 species
UUAAACUGAAGAGUUUGAUCCUGGCUCAGAUUGAACGCUGGCGGCAUGCCUUACACAUGCAAGUCGAACGGCAGCACGGGUGCUUGCACCUGGUGGCGAGUGGCGAACGGGUGAGUAAUACAUCGGAACAUGUCCUGUAGUGGGGGAUAGCCCGGCGAAAGCCGGAUUAAUACCGCAUACGAUCUACGGAUGAAAGCGGGGGACCUUCGGGCCUCG